rnacentral:rRNA from 1 species
UACGGCUCAGUAACACGUGGUUAACCUGCCCUAAGGUGGUGAAUACUCCCGGGAAACUGGGGCUAAUGCACCAUAGUGGAUACUUGCUGGAAUGCUGUAUCCUCGAAAGAUCCGUCGCCUUAGGAUGGGACUGCGUCCGAUUAGGUAGUUGGUGGGGUAACGGCCCACCAAGCCUGUCAUCGGUACGGGUUAUGGGAGCAAGAUCCCGGAGAUGGAUUCUGAGACAUGAAUCCAGGCCCUACGGGGCGCAGCAGGCGCGCAAACUUUACAAUGCGAGCAAUCGUGAUAAGGAAACCCUGAGUGCCUGUCGAUGCAGGCUGUUCAUCUGWWUAAAWUGCAGGUGAAGAAAGGGCAGGGCAAGACCGGUGCCAGCCGCCGCGGUAAUACCGGCUGCUCGAGUGAUGGCCACUAUUACUGGGUUUAAAGCGUCCGUAGCUUGACUGAUAGGUCUCUUGGGAAAUCUUAACGCUUAACGUUAAGACGUCUAAGAGAUACCGUCAGUCUUGGAACUGGGAGAGGUAAACCGUACUUCGGGGGUAGGAGUGAAAUCUUGUAAUCCUCGAGGGACGACCUAUGGCGAAGGCAGUUUACCAGAACAGCUUCGACAGUGAGGGACGAAAGCUGGGGGAGCAAWYYKYYSUWUUUAUACCCCGGUAGUCCCAGCCGUAAACAAUGUGCGCCGGUUUUCGUAACCACGCGUUACUGAUGCGCCGCAGAGAAAUCGUGAAACGGCACCMCCCUGGRAA